rnacentral:misc_RNA from 1 species
CGUACACAUAUCCCGAUGUUUUGAUCUAAUGAACAUGCUGAUGAAGGACUAGCAAGAGAGUUGGACGAACCAGGAGAACACUCUAAAGAUAGGAAAUAACAUUAUAUGUAUGACUACUUCAGAAAUUAAAGUUCUGCUGGAUGAAGACCUGGCAAAAGCUGAGCUCACUUUGAUUAACUGGCAACCAUAUGACCUUCAGGAACUAGUUUCCAAGGGAAAGCGUAAUGCUUUCUACUUUGUUGCCGGGUAUAUUGGGUUUUCUUUGAAGAAGAUCAGCUGUACAGCAUGACAAGAGUUAAUGGUUAUCAAAGACACACCUCCGGACUCAAUAACCCUCGUUAGCCCAACCAAUCAGUAUAUAGACCUGAAAAAGUUCAUCGACUUAAUGAGCAGAGGGGGUUGUUGACUAAAUUCGACCAUCCUUACCUCUCCUGUCUUUAUGCUCAAUCCAUGUUCUCUUACAUCACAGCAACUCCUGAAGAGAAAGACUGUUUACUUAGCACACCGAAUCCUAGAGCUUCAUUUGUUGCCACAUUCAUUCACAGGAUGCAGGAUAGUUUUAACUCUUACAUUAUCUCCGUUGUGGUAGUAAAGUGCGAGGAAGGACAGUCCUGGUCAGCUUUUCUUCAAAGAAUUUCAUUGGCUUUGUUUUAUGUCACGGGUAAAAAUUUAAGUGCUAAACUGAAUGAUGACAUCUGAUUAUUAACAAAAAGAAAAUGACAGCAAAGAAUU